rnacentral:rRNA from 1 species
GAUGAACGCUGGCGGCGUGCUUAACACAUGCAAGUCGAACGAUGAAGCCCAGCUUGCUGGGUGGAUUAGUGGCGAACGGGUGAGUAACACGUGAGUAACCUGCCCUUAACUCUGGGAUAAGCCUGGGAAACUGGGUCUAAUACCGGAUAGGAGCGUCCACCGCAUGGUGGGUGUUGGAGAGAUUUAUCGGUUUUGGAUGGACUCGCGGCCUAUCAGCUUGUUGGUGAGGUAGUGGCUCACCAAGGCGACGACGGGUAGCCGGCCUGAGAGGGUGACCGGCCACACUGGGACUGAGACACGGCCCAGACUCCUACGGGAGGCAGCAGUGGGGAAUAUUGCACAAUGGGCGCAAGCCUGAUGCAGCGACGCCGCGUGAGGGAUGACGGCCUUCGGGUUGUAAACCUCUUUCAGUAGGGAAGAAGCGAAAGUGACGGUACCUGCAGAAGAAGCACCGGCUAACUACGUG